rnacentral:rRNA from 1 species
UACCAGCACCCCGAGUGGUCGGGACGUUCAUUGGGCCUAAAGCAUCCGUAGCCGGUUCUACAAGUCUUCCGUUAAAUCCACCUGCUUAACAGAUGGGCUGCGGAAGAUACUAUAGAGCUAGGAGGCGGGGGAGGCAAGCGGUACUCGAUGGGUAGGGGUAAAAUCCGUUGAUCCAUUGAAGACCACCAGUGGCGAAGGCGGCUUGCCAGAACGCGCUCGACGGUGAGGGAUGAAAGCUGGGGGAGCAAACCGG